rnacentral:lncRNA from 1 species
GGAAGAGACCAUAGACUCAACAGGAGGGGGAGUCCUGGGUAGCGCGCCGGUCUAAAUCGUUACUUGGCGGAAAGUUCCCAUGAGUCUUUGCCAGCGUCCCCCUCCUUUUGUGAGGAUUGGGAUAUUCCGACUCCUUAAGGGCCUGGCGCACAUAAGGGCCACAUCUGCCAGAGCCUGGAGUCUGCGAAGGCCGGGACCCGGUUCCCCGGCCCACAGUGGGGGUGUGCAAACCCGAGAGAACUGGGUUGCAAAUUCGUGAAGAAUCAGCAUCAUGUUUGGCAGCUGAGUAUUGGAGCCAGGAGCCUGCCAUGAGGUUUUGAGAACAGAGUGCUGUUUUAGAGCUGGCAGCAGCAUCUCAGCCCAAGAGAAGUUUCUUUGCAGGUUAUAUUCCCAGAGGAUGUCAGUCCCAAGGACCAGUAGCUGCCAUCAGUUUGGAUUCUGAAAACUAACUGGCAUCAACACUGGGUGUAGAAACAUGCUUGCCUUAUGUAUCAGAGGACAUGCUCAGCAGAUCCAAGAGAUAUAUUUGGCAACUUUUUCUAGAAAAGGCACAUUGGCCGAUGCAGCCUCAGUGUUCCUUUGCCUUGGGGGUUUCUGAGUGGUGGGGUUGUAAGCAGAUCCUGCCAGGCACCCAGAAGGAAACCUCAUCAGGACUCCCUCAGAAAGCAGGCCCUGAAGAAUCCUGUGACCUUCAUCUAAAGUAGGUCAUGAGACCCCUGAGCUUAAAACGGAGUGAUCGGCUUUGGAGAAAAAUCCCUGGAAGGCACGCAGGCUGGACAUCAUCAUAUAUUCUCUACAGAUGGAGACACCAAGGCCCACGCCUUCUGUGCUGUUGGAAUUUCAGGAAGGAUGGGGGUGGGGCACGGCCUCAGCCCUGGGCAUGUUCUGCAGAUUGCACUGCUCUUAUCUGCCAGGGGGUGGUGAGAGGGUGGCUGAGCUGGACAGAUGGCGGGCAGGGACGGGCUCUGCGGUCUGGCAGCUGACAUUGAUACAAGCAAAAAAAGAGUCUUUGCUGGGGGCUCUGGAGGG